rnacentral:lncRNA from 1 species
CAAGACUGGUGGGUGGGGGUUCCUGCAUCUCGAGCCCAGCAUACGGAGGGAGGGAACUGACUGUCCAGGUAUGGGAGGACAGGACCAUCCCUUGGCGAAACCCUGCCCAGGGCCAGGAGGCAUGGGAGCUGAGUGACCUUUGCACCCACACUGGCGGGGAACUGCUAGAUUGCACAGGCAGGUCCCAGCUCCAGGGGACACGCUGACAAAUGCAGGGCACAAGUCCCAGGACUUCCCAGUGCAGAGUGGCCUCUCCAGCCUCAGCAGAGGUAGGUAUGGUCAGGUAGAUAGAGCCUGGGAGGAGGUGGUGUGAGGGCUUCCUGGGCGGUCCCCAGAGCCUCCCCCAGUGACUGUCAGGGUUCCAGGCUCUGGUGAGCACUAGCACACCCAAGGGUGAGGCCAGUGUACUGGGCGGGGGGGGGGUGUGCAAGAGUGAGGAGUGUGCUGACGUGUGCUUACCUAAGUGUGUUCUCAGGUGUUUGUAUACUUGAUUGUGUGCUGGGGUGUGUGUGUAUAUGUGUUUGUACAAUUGUGAUGGGCAUACUCAGGUCUGUGUGUGUGAAUACCUGUGUGCACAUGUGUACCAGGAUGUGUGAGAGAGUGUGGGGUGGUAUCCACUGGACCUGCUCAACUCCUAGCUUGGGGGUUGCCACAGGACUUCAGGAGCAUUUUCCAGGACUUGAGAUUGUAGUGCUAAAAUCAAGACAAUCCUAGGCCACACAGAACCAUGUCAGCAGACCUUGCCCUCAAGGAACCCUGGAAAUGCACAGCCCCGCCUUCUGAGGGAGGGCAGUGUCAGAGGGUCCAGCAGUUCAUCAACAAGAACUGACUCAAGUUCCCAGAGCCCACCUGCAUGAGCUGCAGCCUCUUCCUCCCUCUCCUGGAAGGUUCUGGGGUGCAGUUGCUCCUCUGAGGUCCAGCUCUUGUUUCUUCUGCUGCCCCUACCCACCGAGGAGCAAAGACCCUGACAUGUAGUGUCCCCUUUAUUUCUCCCUAUGAGAGGUGGGCCUCACAUCUGCACCCCACCUCCAGCCCUCAGACUUUGGGUGGGUUCUGGACAGUGCAGCCAUACCCAUCUGUACUGCUGAGAGAGGGACUCAGGCCACCUCCUGCCAGAGCUCUACUGAAUGGCGAGCAGGGCUCACACAGACCCCGCAAAGAAUACUGGGCCAGGUACCCUAUGCCUGGUCACUUCUGGCUUGGAUGGGAGCCAUUCUUGCACCCGCAUCCAGAGGCCCCUGUGACACUGGGGCUGGACAUCAGUGCUGUUGACAGCGGCUCGUUCCGUGGUUUGGAAAUGGUUUGAGUUCUCCUCUGCCCUGGCUCCGUAUGUGGAAGGCAGUCCCCUUGUGAGGUGCAAAGAGGGAGGAAGCUUGUCCACCAUGGUUUUCAGAGGUGGGCCUUGGGAAGGUGGUCCAGGCUAGGUAAGCUCAUGACUGAAUCCUGGUGACUCUGUAAGGGAGACCAGAAGAGACGUAUACCCAUCCCCUGUCUCUAGCCCUGUGGCACCCUGGGACUCUGCUGACAAGCAGGCCCGCUCCAGGCGUGUGCCUUGACCUUAGGCCUCCAGAACCGUGGGCCACAACAAAUCUAUCUUCUCCAUGGCCCACCCAGCCCACAGUAUCGUGUCAUUAACAACGGAGAACCAAGGUGCUGCCCCGACCCUGCACAGCUUGUAGGGGAAGAAAGGCCCGGAUGCUGAGUCCGAUGCGAACACCACCCGGUCUCCCAAACUCACUACAAACACGAGAGGAACACAUUGCACCACAACUGCAGGGGUCAGUCACAUGAUAGGAAAUUUUCAAAUAUAUAGUCUGAGGGGACUUUCACCAUACAAGCCAUCUAUCAUUGGCCAAAAUAGUAUUAUGCCAAGCAGGACUGUAUACAGAACACUAAAAACUGAAAUAACAACAGCACAACCAUUUGGUGGAACAGAAGACAAAGUAGACUGGCUAUUACUGAGCUCAGCAGGGGCCACCAAGUUUCCUGGGGUCCAAGUCAUGGGGCAGUGAUUGUGUCUGCUGUCUCCCUUCAUGGACACAGGUAAGCUUGGGAGUGGGAGGAGACAGGCUCCCUCCAGGCCGUGACUCCUCAAGCGCAGGCCUCGGGGUUCUCUGAAGUAGAAGCAGAGCUGGUCCAGGGCUCCUUGAUAUGGCCCUGGUGCCUCAGUGCCCAUGGCCCUGGCCCUGUGUUUGAACUGAAUGCUUUCACAUAUUUGGCUGGUUUCAAGGUCUUGUUUUGGGUGUCUCCUGCUGACUUUUUUUUUUUUUUCUUUUUUUGACCAGUUCUUACUGUUGCCAAGGCUUGCCUUGAACUUUUGGGCUCAAGCCAUCCCCCUGCCUCAGUCUCCUGAGCAGCUGGGACUGUAACAUAACACCAUACCCAGCUUCUUGAUGACCAUGCACAGAAAGCAAUUGUGACUGAUUUGCAACAAAAGUGUUCCUUCUCUUGAGCUUCUAGUUCAAUCUGAUCAAAAUGUGUUUUGAUAUUACCAGUCAAAUAAAAUAACAUCGAAUUUACCGCACAACCCAUAGAAUACAUUGUAGCUGAGACUCAAUCUCAGAUUUCAUAUUUUUAUGUGACUCAAUAUAUUCUUACUUAUUGUCUUUGUCUUUAUAAAUGUUAUAUACUAAAGCAUAUAACAAUACUUGCAGAAUUUAAGAUACAGACUUCAUCUGUUUCAUUGCUAAAAGCAAGUUUGGCGUCCCUGAUCCCUUCCUGGGGAUUGUUCUUCCCUUGUUUUUCUCUACUGAUGGAGUUGACAUCCAAACACCAGUUUACUAUCAUUGGCCCUGAAGAUCCUCCUUCAGUCAUUUCUGUGUAGGAACAUUCCCACCUAUGGGUCCCCUCCAGAGCCCACACCUGUUGGUGUUACACCUCCAGGGGACAUUUCCAAAUCUAUUAGUUGACACUCUGUGAGAGGAAGGAAAGGGAAUGGAUGCUGGAUAGGAGUAUUCUUCCCUGCUUUGUGUUUUAAAUCUCCAUAAGGAAAAGGAGAUUACUUUCAAGCAGGACUCAGACAUGCAGACAGAAUGUGGGUGUUGGGGCAGAGCCCAAGUCCAAGAGCCUUGGAUGAAUUUUCAGUUUGAUUUGGGCUGUAAUCCCAAACAACAAUCCCAAACACUGUAACUCUGACUUUAGAGUUAGAAAAUACUAAAAAUAUAAUUCUGGGCUGGGCACAGUGGUACAUGCCUGUAAUCCCAGCAGCUCAGGAGGGUGAGGCAGGAGGACUGAAAGUUCAAAGUCAGCCUCAGCAACUUAGUGAAGCCCUAAGCAGCUUAGUGAGAUUUUGUC